rnacentral:rRNA from 1 species
GACGAACGCUGGCGGCGUGCUUAACACAUGCAAGUCGAACGGUGAAGGGGUCUGCUUUUGUGGGCCCUGGAUGAGUGGCGAACGGGUGAGUCACACGUGAGUAACCUGCCCCCUUCUUCUGGAUAACCGCAUGAAAGUGUGGCUAAUACGGGAUAUUCUGGGUCUGUCGCAUGAUGGGUCUGGGAAAGAUUGCGCCUUUGGGUGUUUUUGGUGGGGGAUGGGCUCGCGGCCUAUCAGCUUGUUGGUGGGGUGAUGGCCUACCAAGGCGGUGACGGGUAGCCGGCCUGAGAGGGUGGACGGUCACACUGGGACUGAGACACGGCCCAGACUCGUACGGGAGGCAGCAGUGGGGAAUAUUGCACAAUGGGCGCAAGCCUGAUGCAGCGACGCCGCGUGAGGGAUGGAGGCCUUCGGGUUGUAAACCUCUUUCGCCAGUGAAGCAGGCCUGCUCCUUGUGGGUGGGUUGACGGUAGCUGGAUAAGAAGCGCCGGCUAACUACGUG